rnacentral:rRNA from 1 species
ACUCCUACGGGAGGCAGCAGUGGGGAAUAUUGCACAAUGGGCGCAAGCCUGAUGCAGCGACGCCGCGUGGGGGAUGACGGCCUUCGGGUUGUAAACUCCUUUCGCCAGGGACGAAGCGUUUUGUGACGGUACCUGGAGAAGAAGCACCGGCUAACUACGUGCCAGCAGCCGCGGUAAUACGUAGGGUGCAAGCGUUGUCCGGAAUUACUGGGCGUAAAGAGCUCGUAGGUGGUUUGUCGCGUCGUCUGUGAAAUUCCACAGCUUAACUGUGGGCGUGCAGGCGAUACGGGCAUAACUUGAGUACUGUAGGGGUAACUGGAAUUCCUGGUGUAGCGGUGAAAUGCGCAGAUAUCAGGAGGAACACCGAUGGCGAAGGCAGGUUACUGGGCAGUUACUGACGCUGAGGAGCGAAAGCAUGGGUAGCAAACAGGAUUAGAUACCCUGGUAGACA